rnacentral:lncRNA from 1 species
AAGACAUUCAUCAGUGCUGUGAACUCACGUCGGUAUCUAUGUCGCCCCAUUUUGAAUCAUCUAACACAGUUUCCCACGCACGGCAUCCUGACUUCCGUCGAAGCUGUGUGAGAUUCACACGGCGAUUAACAAUCCACAUAGGAUGUGUCGUCUUUGGAAAUUUUCUUCCCCACCUCCGACGACCCGCGUGAGGACCUUAGGACCACGUGUCGAGGUGGUGGUGGUUUCUGCCCUGGGUGCCACUGUCCAUAUUUCCAGAAUAUAACCACCGGCUGUAUUUUUAAAGUGAUUUUCUGUAGGCUGACACCCAGUGCUUGCAAAUGCGAGGCUCUACUCCUGGAAUAAUGACUAAAUCUAGUUACAUUUCUUUCUUACAGUUAUUUAGCUGACUCCCUCAGGCGGCUUUGAUGAGCGUUGCUUCUGGCCCUUGGGCUGCUGUCCCAAACAGUAUGUGGCUGUCCCAGUAAAGUGACUGAGAGACCAUGGCAUGAAGUGCUUCGUAAGGGCUUAUCCUCUUUUCCAAAGGAUAAUUUUUUGGGCAAAAUCCUCCUCUUAUAUUUGAACUGGCCUGGAGUGAAACAAAGGCCCUGCUCACCCCAUGCUGCUCCCAUCCCCAAAACACCCCGACCUCAGCCUCCUGGACCCCCACUCCCGUGCCAACCUUGGCUGCCCCCCGACCCGGUCUCCCUCCUGCCUGAGGCCGACCCCGACCCCUCCAACCCUUUCCAUCUCCCCGGGUCCUCCCGCCUCAGACCACUUCCUUCACAUCUAACACAUUCUUCAAGAAGAGAGGAAAGUAUAGAGCAGACCCACGCUGUCCCCAAUCCUUUUACCUGGAAACAGCCAGUCUUGACAUCUGGUAAAUGUCAUCGCAGACCCCUCUCUCUGCAUUUACGUACAGAAGGAUGGAAGGAAGGACAGGUAGAUAAAUCCUACACGGAAAUAACUUUGCAAUCAUAUGAAAAAAGACGGACACCUGCUAUUGUGGUUUUUAAAUAUCACAUUUCAUUUUCCUUGAAUUCAACAGAAGAAAAGGGAACCUGCAGGAGCUGCUGAACUGCUGAGCUCACGCAGGCCUUGCGUCUCCGAGCUCUGCCUUAUGUGUUCAUGCUCUUCUUAGACCUUACAGCACAGAGAUUUCUUCUGUCCUUCGUAGUGUCUUCUGACAGUCUGAGUUGUCUGUCUGUCUGCCGUAAACGGUGUGUCUCAUAUCCUCCAUCUCAUGUAUCGUGUUUUCAUACUGCUUAUGCCUCGGAGGGCAGCUCUCCCUCUUAUUUCCUCUGAUAAAGGGUGAGUUCUACUCCCCACCUUCUCUGGGCCCGGCUGGGAUUCCAUCGAGCUGGGAUUUAGGGCAGAGGCUGCCCCUCGGACCUGUCCUGUAGCCUGAGCACGGGCGGGGGUACAAGGACUCGGUGGGCUCCCGGGUGCAUCCUGAGCUGUUUCUCUGCCUAGAACCACGCUGAAGGCUUCCGAUUGUUCCCCAAGAGGGCAUUGUGGAGCUUUGGAAAACUGCAUCGUGCAGCUGUGAGGUCUAGGAACAUUCCAGAACAUUCUGGAACAUUUCUCUAGCCUACCAACUCACCCCUGCAGUGAGUUCUUUGCAACUCAGGAGAAGUCCUGGCAAAAACUGUCAGAACUCUGUGGACUUUUCUUCUUUCCUCCUUAUUGCUUCUGGAGGACUGGGGACCGAGUCCUUCUGGAAUCUUCUAAUUUUUUCCUUGCACACUACUUUUCAAAGUCUGUGACCUACGAGUGCACCCCGUUCCUCAUUUGGUUACUGCUGGUGGAAGCUUGAUUCCUGUAUCUGGUCCUUCCUCCUCCUGUUGGUGCUGAGCAGACGUUCUCUGCCCGGGGCUCACCCCUCCAUCUUUGCCCCACCCCCCGCGGGGGCUUAAACACGCUCAGGUGUCUCCCGUUGGAAACCCAACGCGCGCUGCCCUUGGCUUUCCAAUGUCUCAAGCUUGUCUACGAGCCUCUCUCUUCCCCCUUCCCACUCGCUGCUCAGCCUACAUCUGGCUUCUGGUCCCCUCCCACAAAACCUCAGUCUCCUACGUUGCGGCCACUGCUACUCGACUGGCCGUCGCAUCUUGGAGUUCCUUCAAGCUCGCCCUGGAAGCCGUGUGCUCCGCUCAGACAAGCUCACGCACACCUCUGGCUUGGGUUGUUCCUGCCAUGCAGGUGAUUGCAAAUCUGUCCCCUUAGCCCACUGUCUUCCGGGCUCCAGGCCUGGCUGUCCAGCCGCCUCCUUAUCAUCUCCUUUUCGAUGUCUCGAAGACAUCCACAUCAACUUGUCCAAAAUUAUGCUCCCCAAGCUCACACCCAUUAGGAUGGCUGCUAUCAAAAUAGAAAAUUAAAACAAAACCACAGGUGUUGGUGAGGAUGUGGAGAAACUGGAAGCAUCGUGCACUGUUGCUGGCAGCGCAAGAUGGCGCAGCUGCUGUGGAAAAGUCUGGCGGUUGCUCAGAAACUUAAACAGAAUGACCACAUGAUCCAGCAGUUCCGCUUCUGGGCAUAAACCCCAAAGAAUUCAAAUCAGGGACACCCACCUUCAUACAGCACCAUUCACAACAGUCAAAAUGUGGAGGCAGCCCAAGCAUCCAUGAGUGGAGGGAUGGAUAAAGAAAAUGCGGUCCAUCCACACAGUGGACUAUGGUUCAGCCUUAAAGAGGAAGGAGAGUCUGACACCUGCUAUGACGUGGAUGGACCCUGAAGACAUCAUGAUAAGUGAAAUAAGCUGGUCACAAAAGGACAGAUCCUGUAUGAUCCCUUUCAUAUGAGCACCCAGUAGUCAAGUUCACAGAAGCAGAAAGUAGACGGUGGAGCCGUGGGGCUCAGGAGGGAAGCAGAGGCCUCGGCGGGGGGCUGCACGUUCUGCCGGGGAGCUUGGCCCUCUCUCGCUCGCCCUGGGAGCCGUGGGAACCUGGAAGGGCUGCUGGCAGGAGAAUGACACGGUGGGAUUUGCAUUUCAGAAGGUGGAAGGCCCGGCUGGCAGCUGGGAGGUGGCACAAUGGCUGGCAGGCUGGUGAGCAGCCCUGUGGACGCUGCCCGCCCCCCAGUGCCCACUGGAGCCCAGUGAAGCCCCCUCUGCAGAGAGGAGCGGCUCACGGCGUCCCAGGGCCCCCGGGGGAGGGGCAGGCGGCUCCAGGCCAAGAGGCGGAAGAGGCCUGGCAGGCGGGGAGCAGCCUUAGAUGGAGAGCACAUUUGCAGCCAUCGAGCGUGUUCCCAGGCCCUGCCGGAGCAGAGAGGGGUGGCUUGGGGGGGCUGCAGGGUUGAGGCCCCGGCUGAGGUCCCGGGCAGACCACAGGGUGAGCCGGUGGGAUCUCCUGUCCUGCCACAUGCCCCCACCCGUGCUGCAGGGCCAGCUGGGGUGUCUGGGGAGGAAAGGGCCCCUGGACCCUCAGUCAGCAGGACCGAGGUCGGCUGAGGGGCCCAGCCGGCCCAUGCUGGCCGGGGGCCUGCAAUGAGCCUCAGUUGCCCCAUCUGUAAACAAGGGAGUGAUGACAGUGUGUCUCGGGGGGGCUGUGAGCCGGUGGCCAGAGGGGGCCGGUGCCAGCCAGGAAAGCUCUCUGAGAGCACGGUGAUGUCUGUUCCAGAAGCAUGCACGGAGCCCCCAUCAGGACCCUGCUGUGGUCACCUCGUCAUCGUGGCCUUGCUCCUGCCCUGCCCUGUGCCUGCCCUGUACCCCUGGGAGGUGGGCCAGGGGCAGAUAUGGGUGCCUUUGGACUUAGUCCUCAGGCCCUGGGAGCCAGGGAGGGGCCAGGAGGGGAGGUGCAGUCAGGUUCCUCCCCAGAGACAGAGGAAGGGAGAAGAAGCUCAGGGCAAAGGGCACGGCCUUGCUGCCCCCAGCACCCGUGACCUCAAGGGGGCACUUCCUUUUCUGAGCCCAGGCUCGGAUGGCAUUUCCCUCAGUGGGGGAGGGGGUCUCCAGGGCUACCCAGGGAGGGAGGCCUGGUGGACCCCGAUUCCCUGGACCCCGCCCUGACUGGCGGAACAGGCCCGGUGGGUGAGGGGACGAGGUUUGUCGGAGCCCGGCUCUGAAUCUGAGGACCCGGGGACCCCCACGUGGGGAGGCAGUGGCUGGCCUCCACCCAGGAGAGGCAGAGAUGCAGUGGCUGCAGGGAGAGUGACAGCCACCCCCCCUCCCCGAGGGGACUUGGGCGGGUCACAUGAGGGACGGGUCACAGUGAGGCAGGAGGCUGGGUUACAGCUACAAACAUCCUCUUUCCAGCGUAAUCCUGGCAACUCCCCAGGGAGGGAAGUGUGACUGUCCCCCUCUGGCAGACUGGGAGAGUGAGGCUGGAAAGCUGCCCGGUGGAAGGGUCUCCCCUCUUGGAAGGGGAACAAUGUCACCAGGCAGCUCAAGCCGGAGAGCAGCUGGCAGGGCUCAGGAGAGGGAAGCGAGAGUCUGGCCCUCCCCCGGCCCCAGGCGGCGGGAGGGAGAUGCCUGCCCGGGCUGCUGGCCUGCUUCUGAAAGUCCCAAGAAGGCGUCUUUUCUCCCCAAGCGCGGGGUAGUGCCAUUGGCAGUCCAUCCUUUGAACAGCUGCCCGGCCCCCUUUGUCACCAACGCGGAUCCCAGUCCCCAGAGGGCCGGAGACCCUCCCGCUGUUCCCGGAGAUGGAGAUGAGGCUCUUGAGGCUGCCAGGAGGGGACCACGUGCUCCUCAGCCUCCAUGAGCCCCUCUCCCAGCC